UAAAUGAAUUUGACAAAUGCACCUGGUUACUGAUGUUUUCAGUCUAUUUUGUCGUAAAAUUUGAAAUUCACUUUGAAUUUCUGACAAUUUACACUUUACACCUUGUAUGUGUGUAUCUCUUUGUAGUGUGAGUGUGAAAGCAGGGUUCAACUUGUGAGCCAGAAUACAAGUGUAUUCAAGUGCAGUUUAAAUGUAUGUGCAGUGUCUGUGCAAAAAUGCAAGUGUGUGUUUGUGCCUUCCCCUAUUUUGUAUUUGCUCAAAUCUCUCACCCACAGUUUUUGUUUGUCCCAAUCCCACUCCAAAAUGUGUGCCUCUAUCUGCCCCUCCAUGAUGUGUAUUAUUCCCCAAAUCCCUCCAAUAGAUUGUUUCUCCCUCCCAGAUUUGUGUUCAUCUGCAAGCACCCCCAUCACUCUGUUUUCUGCUCCAUCCCCCUCUCCCCAAAUACCUCUAGAGUUGGUACCUGUCCCGUCUCUUCUCGUCAUCCACCUCAUGACGUCAGCUGUAGCAUGCAAUACCACACCACCCAACAUUUCAAACGGACAGAGGGAUACUUUAAAUUUAGGGGUGUGAGUGGGUUUGGAGCUGGGGACAGGACAGUUCUGAGAAAUUUAGGUGACUUCAAAACAAUUUAUGUAACUAAACUGUAAUUUACAAGGAGAAAAUAAUUCUAACCACAUUCAUUGUAGCUUAAAGACACAUUACUAGGAUUAUUAUUGCUGUGGAGCCACAACCCCACCGCACCCCUAAAAUUAAAGUGACACUCUGUCCAUUUAAAAUGUUGAGAGAUAUGCCUGAAUUGGCAUGGCAGUCAGCUGACCUAACAAGGAAUAGCAUGAUUGGGGGUUCUGCCCUCUCUUGUCUCUAUCACAUAAUUAUCCCGGGGGGGGGGGGCUUGCUUCCUCUCACGGUUCCUACACUCCUGCAACGAACCCACUUAUACCAAUGUAGCAUUUAGGAUAAUGGUUCAGGGGAAACCAUGACCACGUAAAUAUUUCAAAGCAUGCCCCACACUAUUUAUUAAAGAUAUCCUUGACAUAGCGAAUCUCUAAUAACAUUUUUCUUUUCUUUCCAGAUGUGAUAGCCACGAGAACCUUCCAGUGACACAAAAAUCUUUCUACUGGAGUAGUACAGGAGCUCACAGAACUGACAAAUUAUUAAUUAUGGGUGAUGUCUGUCAAAAAAUAUAAAAUAAUUUUCAAAUACAAAUUUUAAUAAAGCUCCUUUGAAAUGUGCUGUGUUUUAUGGUGAACACCAGAAUCUAUUAAUUUGAAAGUGUGCUUUGUAUUUUGCUAAUGGUGGGUGCAUUUCAGCUCAGGGAGUACUAACAGUUAAAUGGAUAAAUGUGUAAAGAAUGUGACAUACAAUACAAAUGUAUAUAAUAUGUCUAUUGCUGUUGAUCAGUUUAGGCUGCUGUUACAGUUGACAUUGAUUAAAUCAUUAUUAAUAUAAAUAUUAAAGAAUAGAAUUAUA